UUUAAAAGGCCGCGGUAUAUUAACUGUGCAAAGGUAGCAUAAUCAUUAGUUUUUUAAUUGAAGGCUUGUAUGAAGGGUUGGACAAAGAAUAAUCUGUUUUUAUUUUUAUUUCUGAAUUUAACUUUUAAGUGAAAAGGCUUAAGUAAAUUUAAGGGACGAUAAGACCCUAUGAAUCUUUAUAUUAUGUCACUUUAAGUUAGUUAAUAUCGUAGAUAUAAUGAUAAGGUGAGGUGUAUUGUGUUGGGGUGAUGAGAAUAUAAGAAAUAACUGUUCUAAAUUUAAGACAAAAUUGUUUGUGGUAAUAAUAGAUCCUUUAUUGAGAUUAAAAGUUUAAGUUACUUUAGGGAUAACAGCGUUAUUUUUUUUGAGAGUUCUUAUCGAAAAAAAAGUUUGCGACCUCGAUGUUGAAUUAAAAUU
rnacentral:rRNA from 1 species